UUAUGGCCAUAUCACAUUGAUGCACUGGUUCUCACACAAUCACCAAAGUUAAGCAAUAUUGAUCUUGGUCAGUACCUAGAUGGGUGCCCACGUGGGAAUACCAGGUGCUGUAAG